UCAAAUCUCUCAUCAACAAUUGCUUCUUACUUAAUGCUUGAGGUGGAUUUUCUGUUUUCUUACUUCUUAGCAACAAUGACAUUUGGAACCGAUGAAGAGAUAAACCAUGCUUGAGAAAAUGUCCUGUUCUAAAAAAUGGAAAGAAUAUUAAAAAUCCCUAACUAAAAUAUUAAUAAAGUUCAAUAUAGUUUGAGGCAUAAAAUAUAAUUAAGUUAAAAUUAAUUGAUCAUGUGCAAAACUUACACAAAUAACUUACUAAGAGGGCACGUUUUAGCAUUGUAGAUGAAAACAAAAAUAACACAAGUUCAUCCUACUAAAAACCAAUGAACAACCCCUGCAAGAUAACACAACAGCAGAGGAAACUACACAAAACUCCAGACAGUCACAGGCAUCGCAAAGCUAGACAACAUCGCAAA
rnacentral:lncRNA from 1 species